UGGAAAGCACUGAGCUCCAGCUGCAAGGACAGCCCCCAUCCGUUCUGUGUGCGUCUGUCUUUAAAAACCCUCCUCCUGCACCAACGGACACCGGAUCACCUCAGACAGUGACGCAUGGCCUCAUCGGGCACGCGGGCCGCCCCGGGUCACCGUAGAUUUAAUCUGCUGAGCACCCCAUCGCUUACAGAGUCUGUGACCUGAGAUUGUCUUAUCCAGAGAUGGGCCUUGAGAGGGAGAAGCCGGGCCCUGUCCUCAGACGAACCAGAAGCUCCCCGUCAUCAGUCACGCUCCUGUAAACUCGCUGCAAGAAAGCAACACAACAACAUGGAGUUCAGUCACAAGUGGAGCCGGUCCCUUCCUUUGUGUGCAGCUGUGUUUUCUCCUCCGUCAUCCUCCCUCUCCUCACCGUUUCUCACCCUCCCUCCUGUCUGGAUGUCUCACCCCCUCCCCCCACUGAAUGCCUCUGUAAUUCCUAUUCUUAUCUGCUCGUCAGCUCCAGGAAAAGAGCUUCUUUACUUAUGUGCUCGUCUUCUCCAUGGGGGAAAGAGGAGACA